rnacentral:rRNA from 1 species
GACGAACGCUGGCGGCGUGCCUAAUACAUGCAAGUAGGACGCAGUUGCGAACGGGUGAGUAACGCGUAGGUAACUACCUAUUAGAGGGGGAUAACUAUUGGAAACGAUAGCUAAUACCGCAUACUAGUAGAUGGACCUGCGUUGUAUUAGCUAGUAGGUAGGGUAAUGGCCUACCUAGGCAACGAUACAUAGCCGACCUGGCAAGGUGGUCGGCCGCCCAUGGACUGGUACACGGACCGGACUCCUACGGGAGGGUGCCGUAGGGAAUCUUCGGAAAUGGGGGGAAAGCUGACCGAGCAACGCCGCGUGAAUGAAGGAGGUUUUCGGAUCGUUAAGCUCUGUUGUUAAGGAAGCGGUACUUAACCAGAAAGGGACGUCUAACUACGUGCCAGCAGCCGCGGUAAUUC